rnacentral:rRNA from 1 species
GAUGAACGCUAGCGGCAGGCUUAAUUACAUGCAAGUCGAACGGUAAGUUGAAUAGCAAUAUUUGACCUAGAGUGACGUACGGGUGCGUAAACACGUAUGCAACCUACCCUUUACAGGAGGGAUAGCUCGGGGAAACUCGAAUUAACCCUCCAUAAUAUUAUUUAGUGGCAUCAUUAGAUAAUUAAAACUCAGGUGGUAAAGGAUGGGCAUGCGUCUGAUUAGUUGGUUGGCGGGGUAACGGCCCACCAAGACGAUGAUCAGUAGGGGACCUGAGAGGGUGAUCCCCCCACACUGGCACUGAGAUACGGGCCAGACUCCUACGGGAGGCAGCAGUAGGGAAUAUUGGUCAAUGGAUGCAAGUCUGAACCAGCCAUGCCGCGUGC